UACGGGGGGGGCAAGCGUUGUUCGGAAUUACUGGGCGUAAAGGGCCAGUAGGCGGCCAACUAAGUCCGACGUGAAAUCCCCAGGCUUAACCUGGGAACUGCGUCGGAUACUGGAUGGCUUGAAUCCGGGAGAGGGAUGCAGAAUUCCAGGUGUAGCGGUGAAAUGCGUAGAUAUCUGGAGGAAUACCGGUGGCGAAGGCGGCAUCCUGGACCGGCAUUGACGCUGAAGCGCGAAAGCUAGGGGAGCAAACGGG
rnacentral:rRNA from 1 species